GAGGAGAGGUUAACCAACAAGAACUGCUAAUUCUUGCCCCUGAGCAUGAAACCUCAGUCUCCUCA
rnacentral:tRNA from 1 species